AGUGAACGCUGGCGGUAGGCCUAACACAUGCAAGUCGAACGGCAGCACAGUAAGAGCUUGCUCUUACGGGUGGCGAGUGGCGGACGGGUGAGGAAUACAUCGGAAUCUACUUUUUCGGGGGGGAUAACGUAGGGAAACUUACGCUAAUACCGCAUACGACCUACGGUUGAAAGCAGGGGAUCUUCUGACCUUGCGCGAUUGAAUGAGCCGAUGUCGGAUUAGCUAGUUGGCGGGGUAAAGGCCCACCAAGGCGACGAUCCGUAGCUGGUCUGAGAGGAUGAUCAGCCACACUGGAACUGAGACACGGUCCAGACUCCUACGGGAGGCAGCAGUGGGGAAUAUUGGACAAUGGGCGCAAGCCUGAUCCAGCCAUACCGCGUGGGUGAAGAAGGCCUUCGGGUUGUAAAGCCCUUUUGUUGGGAAAGAAAAGCAGCAGGUUAAUACCCCGCUGUUCUGACGGUACCCAAAGAAUAAGCACCGGCUAACUUCGUG
rnacentral:rRNA from 1 species